rnacentral:lncRNA from 1 species
GUGAUCCGCGCGAAGAGGAGAUCAUUCUGCCUCUCGGGGUCUUCGCCGGAUAUUACAGUCGACAAGGAGGCUACCAAAUGAAAGAGGAAGAAGAGAGGAGUCGAUCAACACCUACCUCGACGCCUCAAGUCAUCGGAAACGAUGGGAAAUCGCCGGAGAAGUUGUUGCAACGGAGCUAAACGUUUCGGUCGAGAUUUCUCUCAAUCCGGGCUCAAAUCGCGCAAACCAAAGUUUAAAUCAAACUCCUUGCGACGAGUAGAUAUUUUUAN